UGGAAGCAGUCUGAGGCUGGAGUCCAGUGAGGAACAGUGGCACUUCUGGUCUCAGACUCAACCCA
ensembl:miRNA